AAUGCAAAGAUUCGUAGAUUUCUCUAAGCGUCUUAAAAGUUUAGCCUACAAGCAACUUGGAAGCCAUCAGAGACUUAAGCAAUGAAAUGUUGUGGCAGCUUUUUGUUUUGUUCUAUUUUUCCCUACAUGUAGAAGAUGCUGUAUGAGGAUUCUUUGCUGCCUUUUCCGCCAUCAGGUAUUUAAGAUCAUUUGGGAGAGCAGGUGCUUGAAGAUUAGCUCCGACAGAAGAGGGAGAUGUGGAUUGGUUGGAGUAGAGUAAAGGGUUUCCUGCAUCACAGUGGAUUUGCUGAGAUCCCACUCUUUUUGAAGGAAACUACUCUGGACCAAUGGAAAUGGUUAAACCAUAGGAUUAUAUUACUUUUCGUUUGUGGGCACAUCCAGGUGGAAAUAAGUACUUGCAUUCUUAUCAGCAGAAGGAAAAUUUUUAGCAUAUAGGAAGAACUAUUGUCAGCAUCUGUGGAAAAAGCCUUAGCUUUACUCCCCCAUGGAAGAAAGCAAACGAAAGCCGCCCCAUGAAUUUAACUUGAUAGAUGUUGAUUCUCUGCCUGAAGAAGAGAACCAAGCUGGGAAAGCUGGACUGGAAAGUAGGAAGAGUUUGCUUCCAUAAGACCAAUGGUCUGUCUGUGACAGACAGUGGCUCAGUUUUGACAAGCAUGUAGAGAGUACAUACAUUGGCCGAAUCCUGCAUUGGAGGUCAGAGAUAUAAAGUUUGCCAGUAUCCUGCGGCCUGUGAUCCAGCAGCAUGCCCCAGGAUUCCUGAAAAGAAACACUUGGAGAAGCCCAGUACUGUGGUCUUGCAGAACUGCAUACCUGCUAUAACAUACUAAUAUAUAGGAACAAGAACCCAAUUCUGCUAAAUCAACUGGCUCCUAAAGAUUUUAUGACUUGGAAUAACUGAAUCUCACUAUCUCGUCCCAACAUGACCCCAAAGAGAAUGACUUGACAGGGGUUAAAUGUAUGUUUGGGCUCUAAAGCUGUACAGAUCUAGAUUCAGAACAAGGUUUGCCACAGAAUCACUGUGUGACUUUGGACAGGGGAAAAGUAAAUCUAAGUAGAUGUUCUCAUGUUUCCCCACUUCACCCUAGUACACUACCUCAGUGUGCUGUGCUAGGGGAGAAUCUGCCUGGACUGCGCACUGGAGGAGUUUAAGGUCUUGGAGCCUACGUCAGGUGGAACAUGCCCAACUUACUGGUCACCAUUAUAAUCUCACCAGGAUACCAUAUGGUAUUACCUAUCCAAAAAAAAAAGAAAAGAAUUAAAGAAUAAAGGCAAUGCAAAACGUUGGAGAGCCAAUCUGAAAUCAAUUGACAGGCAUGAACAUUUGUUAAUAACAUGAGUAUAAGCAGAUGGAGAAGGAAUUGUACUGAACAUUCUCCAAAUAUAGAAACAAUCUACUGGAGAAAGUCAGACAAACAUGGUGUGUCCAAAAAUCUGUUUCCGUCUUAAAGCUUGAGUCUUUAUGGAGUAAGAAUUUUCAAAUGACCCCUUCCUUAUUCUUUUUUUUUUUUCUUUUUUGCAAAACUAAGGUAAAGGCGUUAAUGUUACAGUGUAUGAAUUAAACUUCAAUUUUAAAAU
rnacentral:lncRNA from 1 species